GAACGCAUCUUGCGCUCCUUGGUAUUCCUAGGAGCAUGCCUGUUUGAGUGUCAUUAAUAUCUCAACCAUACUCAUGUUGAGGGUAUGGCUUGGACGUGGGGGUUACAGGCCCUUAUUUGUGGUCUGCUCCCCUGAAAUACAUGAGUGGCAAAGCCCCUCCAUUAGGUGUGAUACUUAUCUGCAUCUAUGGGGAUCUGCUGGAUCAUAUGUUGUUGUUGUUGUUCUUGACCUCAAAUCAGGUAGGACCACCCGCUGAACUUAAG
rnacentral:misc_RNA from 1 species